GAUUCUAGCGGGGCGGUCACCUUACGUGCCUCCCUCCACCCGUAGCUGGGGAGAGCCCUUGGCUCCUGCCCAGCCCGUGUGGGUGGGGACAGGCUCAGAAUUUUAGAAUCAUCCUAUCCCAACUCCCAUUCAAUUAAGAAGACACCUCCAAAUUGGUGAAUUUCUGCUCUGCACACAUGACACAUCCUAUGUUCCGUUUUUUUGUCGGCCCCUGGGAUACGUUACAUUCCCCUGUUGAACUAUUGAAUCACGUUGAGGCAAAAGAGACAUUGAGGAUGGAGAGAGUGAGGAUUUUUAAUAAUACAUCACCACCAAGCGACUGAUCAAAGGGGAGAGCCUGGCUGAAGAGCAACCAGCCAGCCUGUGGUGAGGGAAAUAAGCACAAGAAAGCAGAAAAAUGACAACCAGUGAGGCAGCUGCAAAACUAGAGCUGGCCAGACUGGAAGUGGAAGGAAGGCAGAGAGUUUCAAAUGUGGCAGGGAACUGAGGCGCAAAGAAGCAGUUACGGCUAGGGAAACUAUGGAGGCAGAGGCAGCCAGAGAGGAGGCUGCACGUGGAAGGGCUAUGGAAGAAAGAGAGAGAGAGCGAAAACCCCAGCUGGACCUGCUAGAGAAGCAGAACCAGAACCCCCAACCCCAACGACUCCUAUCACUCCAAAAAUCCACAAAUGGGAACACUUAUGUCUUGCAUACAGUGAAGAGGAUGAUGUUGCUGAAUAUCUGACUACCUUUGAAAGGCUGUGUGUAAUACAUGAAAUCCCUGAUAAGAGCGUUCCUACCUGAUUGCCAAAUUAACUGGUAAAGCUCGAAAUGUAUACAAUGGAAUGCCUAUUGAAGAUGCUUUAGACUAUUGUAAAUUUAAAGAUACUGUGUUGCAAAGUUUUCAGAUUAUCCCCAAAACAUAUAGAGUUAAAUUUAGGAAUCUUUAAGAGAGAUAUUGUUAUGAGUAAUGGGGAAUAUGUAAAUGAAAUGAAAGAUUUGUUGAGAAAAUGGGUGAAGGAUAAAGAGGUGGCAAGUUUUGAAGGAAUGCUUGAUCUUGUUGUUCAAAAGCAUUUCUUAAGCAUAUGUAAGGCCAGGGGUGAAAGUAACUUACAGGACUUAUCGGUACUGCCGGAGUCCUGAGGGGGCGUGGCCUCAUCCAGAAGAGACGUGGCCUCUCAAGAUUUAAAGGCCCUGGGGCACCAUGGGCCUUUAUAUCAACCAUUGGCUCCCUGCUGAAGAGGUGGCUGGGAGCCCCCCGGGCUCAGGGGCAAAUUAAAGGGUCCGGGGCUCUGGCCGCUGGGGGGAACCGCAAG